AGAUGGCGACCGGCGCACGGGUGAGUAACACGUAUCCAACCUGCCGAUAACUCGGGGAUAGCCUUUCGAAAGAAAGAUUAAUACCCGAUGGCAUAAUUAGACCGCAUGGUCUUAUUAUUAAAGAAUUUCGGUUAUCGAUGGGGAUGCGUUCCAUUAGGCAGUUGGUGAGGUAACGGCUCACCAAACCUUCGAUGGAGUAGGGGUUCUGAGAGGAACGGUCCCCCACAUUGGAACUGAGACACGGUACCAA
rnacentral:rRNA from 1 species